ensembl:lncRNA
CCCCCCCCCCUGGACCCUCUCAGACUUUCGAUGGCUGGCAAGAGGAACGGAAUCUGCUGCUAGCCAAUUAAAUGAGAAGAGAAAGUGUGUGUGUGUGUGUGUGUGUGUGUGUGUGUGUGUGUGUGUGUGUGUGUGUGUGUGUGUGUGUGUGUGUGUGUGUGUGUGUGUGUGUGUGUGUGUGUGUGCUGUAUGGAAUAAGUUAUUUUGGACCAAGAAUAUUUUUAACCAAUUGUGAGUAAGUACAAAUACUAUGAAAAUAUUUUUUUUUAACUAAAUUUGUUUCCUUUCUGCUACUGAAACAAAAACGAGCGUAUAUUUAAUUCAAUGUCGUACGUCCCGACAAGUUUGGGGAACAAGAUGGGGCUUACAUGAAGAGCAGGCACUGAAGCACUGCUCAUACAUGUUGUAGACCUUUAAGUAGAGCGACGAUGACAAUUUAACUUACUUAACUUUGUCUGAGAAGAAUAUCCCAUUUUUACACGUCUGACACUAUAGUUUGUGUACUAUUAAACUGAUACUCGAGUAUUCAUUUAUACAUUUUCAUUCUGUGAGGGUUUGUCCAUUAGCCCUACAAGUGUAUGAUUAAAAAUGUAACGUAGUUUGACAUUUUAUAAGCUUAUGAACACGUGAGCGAGAAGUUUAAGGUGAGCCUAAUUCAUGGAGGGGUUGUGAUUGAAGAAAUAUGCUGCUGUUUCACUCGCAUUGCUGUUUUAUUUUCUGCUGGUUUUGUAACUUAGCUUGAGCAGUAGGGAUUGGUUCUGCACUGAGAAGAAGGUGAAGGUUCACCUCAACUCAAUGUUUGAAGAACCAAGCUUCUGCUGAUGGAUCCAGACACUGAUGGUCUGAAUCCUGCUGUCAUGUUGUGUAAUAAACUGUUCUGUUCUGCGUAUGCCAAUAAAAAGUGCCACCAUGUGCUCUGACUGCAUGUAUAGCCUGGCUGAUCUUCACAAGUCCCACACAUGAAGAAACAAAGAAAUGCUCUAAACAUGAACGAUGCAGCU